UACGAAUGGGGGAAGCGUUGUUCGGAAUCACUGGGCUUAAAGCGUGCGCAGGCGGUCUUGAAAGUCAGAAGUGAAAGCCCCGGGCUUAACCCGGGAAUUGCUUUUGAAACUCCAAGACUAGAAUCCUGGAGAGGUCGGGGGAAUUCCGAGUGUAGAGGUGAAAUUCGCAGAUAUUCGGAGGAACACCAGUGGCGUAGGCGCCCGACUGGACAGGUAUUGACGCUCAGGCACGAAAGCGUGGGUAGCAAACAGG
rnacentral:rRNA from 1 species